GAUGAACGCUGGCGGCGUGCCUAAUACAUGCAAGUCGAGCGAACAGACGAGGAGCUUGCUCCUUUGACGUUAGCGGCGGACGGGUGAGUAACACGUAGGUAACCUACCUAUAAGACUGGGAUAACUUCGGGAAACCGGAGCUAAUACCGGAUAAUAUUUCGAACCGCAUGGUUCGAUAGUGAAAGAUGGCUUUGCUAUCACUUAUAGAUGGACCUGCGCCGUAUUAGCUAGUUGGUAAGGUAACGGCUUACCAAGGCAACGAUACGUAGCCGACCUGAGAGGGUGAUCGGCCACACUGGAACUGAGACACGGUCCAGACUCCUACGGGAGGCAGCAGUAGGGAAUCUUCCGCAAUGGGCGAAAGCCUGACGGAGCAACGCCGCGUGAGUGAUGAAGGUCUUCGGAUCGUAAAACUCUGUUAUUAGGGAAGAACAGACGUGUAAGUAACUGUGCACGUCUUGACGGUACCUAAUCAGAAAGCCACGGCUAACUACGU
rnacentral:rRNA from 1 species